rnacentral:rRNA from 1 species
AUUGAACGCUGGCGGUAGGCCUAACACAUGCAAGUCGAGCGGAUGAAGGGAGCUUGCUCCUGGAUUCAUCGGCGGACGGGCGCGUAAUGCCUAGGAAUCUGCCACGUAGUGGGGGAUAACGUCCCGAAACGGGCGCUAAUGCCGCAUACGUCCUGUGGGCGAAAGUGGGGGAUCUUCGGACCGCACGCUAUCAGAUGAGCCUAGGUCGGAGUAGCUAGUUGGUGGGGUAAAGGCCUACCAAGGCGACGAUCCGUAACUGGUCUGAGCUGAUGAUCAGUCACACUGGAACGGAGACGCGGUACAGACUACUACGGGAGGCAGCGGUGCAGAGUAUUGGACAGUGGACGAAAGCCUGAUCCAACCCAGCCGCGUGUGGUAAAAAAGUCUUGUGAUAGUAAAGCUCUUCAACUUGGGAGGAAGAAUAGUAAGUUAAUCCCUUGCUGUCUUGACGUUACCGACAGAAUAAGCACCGGCUAACUUCGUG